UGGAUGCCUUGGGUCUGAGAGGCGAUGAAGGACGUGGUAAGCUGCGAUAAGCUACGGGGAGCUGCACACGAGCGUUAUAUCCGUAGAUUUCCGAAUGGGACAACCUAAUAUACUGAAGGUAUAUUAUUCCGACGCAAGUCGGAAAGCCAACCCCGAGAACUGAAACAUCUAAGUACCGGGAGGAAAAGAAAACAAUAGUGAUUCCCCAAGUAGUGGCGAGCGAAAAGGGAAAAGCCCAAACCGAGUCGGCGUGCCGAUUCGGGGUUAUAGGACUGCAUUUAGA
rnacentral:misc_RNA from 1 species